GGCAGAGGGAGGCCAAAGGGCCCAGGCAAGGAGCAGGACUACUUUUUCCAAAAGGUAGCCUGAAGGGCCAAGAGGCCAGGUCAAGUCAACUGGCCUGGGUGAGUAUCUUGGGAAGGGGAUAAGAAAAGCAGGUGUGGCAGAGACAGAAAAGACAGGAGGGCCGAAGGAGGGCACAGGGUGAAGGGCUGCAGGACUUGUGUGAGUGGGGUGGGAGCCAGCAUCCCAGAACGGAGCCCAGGCUAGGGACCACCUAGAGGAGGGCCCAGGCCAGGGGAAAGCAAGGAAUGCAGGGCCAGGAAGGCGGGGCUGCACUAGGGUACUGUAGUCCAGGAAAGCCAUGGGGAGCAGGGAGGCAGAACCAGUGAGGGGCUCUCAGACAAUGCCCAGAAAAGCAGUGAGCAAGAAGGGCCACAAGAGGCUCAAGCGAAGAGCCAGGCCAGGGAACUGAGAGCCAAGGGCCAGGGCUAAGUGUAGUGGGCUCAGGACAGUGGACAAGAUUUGGGAAGGAAGGCAGGGGAUCCAGCAGGGGGCAGUCAGGCUCCAGGCCCAGGGCCACCUCCAGGUUUCAGGGUUCCUGGUGCUAGACCAAACACCCAGGGAGAGCAAGGGGCCCAGACGAGGGGCAGGGCAUUGUUUCCCAUAAGACUCCCUGGAUCACAUGAUAAUCUAUGGCCAGGGACCUGACAAAGGAGGCCAGGAAAAGGAAGGGGGCCAGAAGGAGGGUGAAGGCGGGCACAGAAGAAGGUCUGGGUGGAUGCGCAUAGGCACGAGAGCCAGAACCCAAGCCAGAUGCCCAGGCAAGGGACCCACCAGAUCCAUGGUGAUAGGGAACCCAAGAGCAAGAGACCCACAAGAGCCAGAAAAAGUGUGAGGAGAAGGGGUGGAAGGGGCUGUGUGUGUACCAGGAGAAGCCAAGGGGCACCUAGAGGAACCCACUGGCGGGCCCAAGCAAGUGGCCCCCAGGUCAGACCCAACACAAAGAUACUCCUUGCUAUGCCAAGGGCCAUGAAGAACUCAGUCAGUGGCUCAGGCAAAAUCCCAGGCCCAGGGACUAGAGCACAAAGGGAGGGCCGGUUUGCUGUAGGGGCAGAAUGCAAGGCCAGAGGGCAGGGGAGGGAAGAUAGGAUAUCUCUCAGAGCUGGUUUGGAGCAAGUCCCAUGUUAACUGCCAAGACUCAAGGUUCAGGCAGUAAAGGGGACUCAGGCUAGUGGCAGGACUGUUUCCCAUAGGGAGCAUUCAGGAUACAGAGACCAGCCAAUUCUGCUCCUCUAGCCCAAGUGAGUAGAUCCUCAGAGAGGGACCUGGACCAAAGGAGGGGCCAAAGAGGGUACCGUGAGGGGAUACCUGGUGUGCAGAAGUGGUGGGGGGUUGGGAUGCCAGGACCCAUUUGAGCAGCACAGGGUAGGGACAAGCAAGGUAAUUGGAGGGUUCAGGCACUUCCAGGAUACCACAACAUGAGGGGAUCAAAGGGGAGGCACCCUCAUGCUGUGGUAUCCUGAAACCAUUGGACAGGGAAAGUGUCCUUGAGAAGGGUAGGCAGGGGUUCAAUCAAGGAGCUGGGCCAGUAAUGGAGAGCUAAGUGCUAGCACCUGGGCCUGGGUAAAUAAAAAGGAACAUGGAGAGUGAACAGCGGGAGGGGAGACAGUGGAGUUGGUGGCACAGGGAUAGAAGGCCUCAAGGUCUAGGUCCAAUGCAGGGUGUCCGGGGUCGGGAACAGGGGCCCAGGCUGAGGGAGACCAAAGGGCCCAGGCAAGGGGCAGGGCUAUGUUUUCCCAAAGGGAACCCCCAGGGCCAAGAGGCCAGGCCAAUUUGGCUGACUGGGUGAGCAUCCUAGGAAGGGGAUCAAGAAAGUGGGUGUGGCAGAGACAUAAAGGACAGGAGGGCCGAAGGAGGACACAGCCUGAAGAGCCGCAGGAC
rnacentral:lncRNA from 1 species